rnacentral:lncRNA from 10 species
CUUUGUGCACGGAGUAGAGUCAGAGGCAACGGAAGAGGAGGUGGCAGCCAGCACUCUUGGGCCCGGGACCCUUGCUUGAGACUUGACAUGAAAUGGAAGAGAGUGCGAGAACUGGAAGGAGAUCACAGUAGCUCUGGCUUUCAGACACAAGUGUCUAUUUCCUCAGUCAAGGAGAAGCCUUCCUCACACCAUGAGAGGUGUGGACCUUGUAUCUCUUACAACAACCAAGGCUGGACACCACCUCCUAAUGUCGUUGGAAAAGCCAGUGCUCCACCUUAUGACCCAAACUGACUGAGAGAAUGUUUGCCAGGCCCCUGGCUGUCUACGAGGAAUGGGAGAGGGAAAGCACUCCAUGGAAUGAAGGGGAAGAAGGAGCAAGGGUACGGGUCCCAGUGGUCCCAGCCUGGACUCUUCCUAGCUGUUGAGCACAGCUGAAAGAACAGAGCAACACUCGAGGCCAAGGUGGAAAGAGCUUCCUUUCCUUGUAGGCCACUGACCUUACACUGGAACGAGCACCACCAGCAAACACCUGUGAUGCCAAUCGUCUUGCAGGUAGGAGAGAUCCAUCCAGGAGUGGGAUGGACUCGACAUAAGCUGCAGGUGUGAUUCCUAAAGGACGUGCUACUCAAACACCAUGGAGGCUCGGCAGCAAAAAGCUGGUGGCGGGGUUGCAAAUUGCCAAGCACACCUGACACUCAUGGCCCUACACGCUCAUUCAACUGUUAAGAUACGGAAUAGAAAUCUACCCCCUGGGCAACCCAAGUGUUCAUUAACAGAUACAAACAAACUGUGGUCCAUCCACACAACAGAAUAUGAUUCAGCCUUUAAAAGGAAGGAAACGCUGACAUGGGUUACCACUGGAUAAACCUUGAAGACAUAGUGCUCAGUGAAAUAAGCCAGUCACAAAAGGAUGAGCGCUGUGUGAUUCCUCUUAUAGGAAGCACUAAAGUAGGCAAAUCCAUAGAGACAGAAAGUACAGUGGAGGCUGCCAGGGUCACGAGAGGAGGAGUUAUUGUUCAAUGGGUAGAG